rnacentral:rRNA from 1 species
GACGAACGCUGGCGGCGUGCCUAAUACAUGCAAGUAGAACGCUGAAGCUUGGUGCUUGCACCGAGCGGAUGAGUUGCGAACGGGUGAGUAACGCGUAGGUAACCUGCCUGGUAGCGGGGGAUAACUAUUGGAAACGAUAGCUAAUACCGCAUAACAGUAGAUAUCGCAUGAUCGCUACUUGAAAGGUGCAAAUGCACCACUACCAGAUGGACCUGCGUUGUAUUAGCUAGUUGGUGAGGUAACGGCUCACCAAGGCAACGAUACAUAGCCGACCUGAGAGGGUGAUCGGCCACACUGGGACUGAGACACGGCCCAGACUCCUACGGGAGGCAGCAGUAGGGAAUCUUCGGCAAUGGACGGAAGUCUGACCGAGCAACGCCGCGUGAGUGAAGAAGGUUUUCGGAUCGUAAAGCUCUGUUGUAAGAGAAGAACGAGUGUGAGAGUGGAAAGUUCACACUGUGACGGUAUCUUACCAGAAAGGGACGGCUAACUACGUG